UUUAUUGGAGAGUUUGAUCCUGGCUCAGGAUGAACGCUGGCGGCGUGCCUAAUACAUGCAAGUCGAGCGAAUGGAUUAAGAGCUUGCUCUUAUGAAGUUAGCGGCGGACGGGUGAGUAACACGUGGGUAACCUGCCCAUAAGACUGGGAUAACUCCGGGAAACCGGGGCUAAUACCGGAUAACAUUUUGAACUGCAUGGUUCGAAAUUGAAAGGCGGCUUCGGCUGUCACUUAUGGAUGGACCCGCGUCGCAUUAGCUAGUUGGUGAGGUAAUGGCUCACCAAGGCAACGAUGCGUAGCCGACCUGAGAGGGUGAUCGGCCACACUGGGACUGAGACACGGCCCAGACUCCUACGGGAGGCAGCAGU
rnacentral:rRNA from 1 species